rnacentral:misc_RNA from 1 species
GGAGCAUCAUCACCAGCAAACCCAGCCUUAACCAUUCCAGUUCCAUUGUCACAGACGAGGGGCUGAAUAUCCUCUGCAUCGGCCAUUUUCUAAGAACCUUUGAAAUUGAAGGAUCGAAGUGAAGCAGAAAGACGGAAACCAACCAAGCCAACCCUACUGAGAUGGCCUGGACUCUUUCUCUCUCCGCACAGAGACUCUUUGGCUUUGGAAGAAGUAGAGACGAGAUGCAGAA